GACGAACGCUGGCGGCGUGCUUAACACAUGCAAGUCGCACGCCGUGGCGAACGGGUGAGUAACGCGUAAUCAACCUGCCCUUCAGAGGGGGACAACAGUUGGAAACGACUGCUAAUACCGCAUACUGAAGGAGGGGAUUGCGUAUGAUUAGCUAGUUGGAGGGGUAACGGCCCACCAAGGCGAUGAUCAGUAGCCGGUCUGAGAGGAUGAACGGCGACAUUGGGACUUAGACACGGCCCAGACUCCUACGGGAGGCAGCAGUGGGGAAUCUUCCGCAAUUGACGAAAGUCUGACGGAGCAACGCCGCGUGAGUGAUGACGGCCUUCGGGUUGUAAAGCUCUGUUAAUCGGGACGCGGUACCGGAAUAGAAAGCCACGGCUAACUACGUGCCAGCAGCCGCGGUAAUUC
rnacentral:rRNA from 1 species